GAGUUUGAUCUUGGCUCAGGAUGAACGCUGGCGGCGUGCCUAAUACAUGCAAGUCGAGCGAACAGACGAGGAGCUUGCUCCUCUGACGUUAGCGGCGGACGGGUGAGUAACACGUGGAUAACCUACCUAUAAGACUGGGAUAACUUCGGGAAACCGGAGCUAAUACCGGAUAAUAUAUUGAACCGCAUGGUUCAAUAGUGAAAGACGGUUUUGCUGUCACUUAUAGAUGGAUCCGCGCCGCAUUAGCUAGUUGGUAAGGUAACGGCUUACCAAGGCAACGAUGCGUAGCCGACCUGAGAGGGUGAUCGGCCACACUGGAACUGAGACACGGUCCAGACUCCUACGGGAGGCAGCAGUAGGGAAUCUUCCGCAAUGGGCGAAAGCCUGACGGAGCAACGCCGCGUGAGUGAUGAAGGUCUUCGGAUCGUAAAACUCUGUUAUUAGGGAAGAACGAAAUGUGUAAGUAACUAUGCACGUCUUGACGGUACCUAAUCUAGAAAGCCACGGCUAACUACGUGCCAG
rnacentral:rRNA from 1 species